CAAGUAGCCCAGCGGCGAGGGCGCCUGACUGUAAAUCAGGUACAUGGAAACACCGGGGGUUCGAGUCCCUCCUUGC
rnacentral:tRNA from 1 species